GUUACUGCUAUCGAGGUUCGACUAAGCCAUGCGAGUCGAAUGUAGCAAUACAUGGCGUACUGCUCAGUAACACGUGGAUAACCUACCCUUGAGAUGGGAAUAAACCCGGGAAACUGGGUAUAAUACCCGAUAGAUCUCGACUGCUGGAAUGCAUCGAGAUCCAAAGCUUUGGCGCUCAAGGAUGGAUCUGCGGCCUAUCAGGUAGUAGUGGGUGUAGCGUACCUACUAGCCUACGACGGGUACGGGUUGUGAGAGCAAGAGCCCGGAGAUGGAUUCUGAGACACGAAUCCAGGCCCUACGGGGUGCAGCAGGCGCGAAAACUUUACAAUGCUGGAAACAGCGAUAAGGGGACCUCGAGUGCCAGGUUACAAAUCUGGCUGUCGUGAUGCCUAAAAAGCAUUGCAUAGCAAGGCCGGGCAUGACCGUGCAGCCGCCGCGGUAACACCGCGGUCGAGUGGUACCGUAUUAUUGGGUCUAAAGGGUCUGUACCGGCGGAUAAGUCUCUUGGAAAUUGCAGUUAACUGUAGGCUUUAGGAGAACUGCUGGUCGAGGCCGGAGAGGUAGAGGUACUUCAGGGUAGGGUAAAUCCUGUAUCCUUGGGGACCACUUGUGCGAAGGGCCUCACCAGACGGCUCCGACAGUAGGACGAAAGCUGGGGGACAACCGGAUUAGAUACCCGGGUAGUCCCAGCCGUAAACGAUGCGCGUUAGGUGUAUCGGUGACCACGAGUCACCGAGGUGCCGAAGAGAAAUCGUGAAACGUGCCGCCUGGAAGUACGGUCGCAAGGCUGAAACUUAAAGGAAUUGCGGGGGAGCACCACAACAGGUGGAGCCUGCGGUUUAAUCGGACUCAACGCCGGAAAUCUCACCGGAUAAGACAGCUGGAUGAUAGUCGGGCUGAAGACUCUACUUGACUAGCUGAGAGGAGGUGCAUGGCCGUCGUCAGUUCGUACUGUGAAG
rnacentral:rRNA from 1 species